rnacentral:lncRNA from 1 species
GGAGAGGGAGAGGGGGCGACCGGGAGAGGGAGCGGAGGCGGAGGAGGGGAAAUUCGGAGAGGGAGAGGAGGCGGAGGCUAGGGCUUACAAUUAACCAGUCGAGCGCUGGGUUAUACCAGAAAACUUUAGCCGACGAAAUAAUAAUUUCGUCGGCUAAAGAUAAUAAUUUCGUCGGCUAAAAUAAUAAUCUAAUCGGCUAAGAUAAAAUUCGUCGGCUAAACUUUUGAAAUUCGUCAGCUAAACCUCUGAAAUUCGUCGGUUAAACAAUAAAUUCGUCGGCUAUAACCUUUCAAAUUCGUCGGCUUUAAAACAAUUAACCAUUCGUCAAACUGUGAUUGUGAUUGUGAUGAUCAAACUUGAGAACGAAAAUCCGACCGUCAGAUCUGACCACCAUGAUAAAAUACAUGUAUGGGAAAAAAUUCAACUUGAUCCGACAAGGUUAAGGGCUCGAUCCGAACGGUCAAUCCGUUAAGUCAAACCCCUAAACGCACGGAAAAGGUCAUUGGACUGUCUAAAUUACGUAUUUUGGCCGGACCUUCAACUGAAAAUAGUUUCAAACCGAUGAGACGAAACAAGUCCUAUAAAAAUUUUACGCAAAAUAACCACCGAAGAUAGGGCUACCCAUAGGGAGAAAGAAUGGAAAAUUGCAUUGACCGCAACUAUCGGCACCGAAACUUUACCGGAAUACCGUGAUUUUUCAACCGUAGACGUCUUUCACCAUUCUGGUCAUGUCUUAUUUCACGACUUUUUUACGUUUGAAGGUUCUACGUAUAGUUUGUUUUUGAAACGGAACAUUUAUUUAACACUUGGUAAACAAGUUAUACAACAUUAGUAGGCAUGUUGUGAUUGUGAUGAUCAAACUUGAGAAAAUGAAAUCCGACGGUCAGAUCUGACCAUCAUGAUAAGAUACAUGUAUGGGAAAAAAUUCAACUUGAUCUGACAAGGUUAAGUGCUCGAUCCGGACGGUCAAUCCCGUAAGUCAAACCCUUAAACGCACGGAAAAGGUCAUUGGACCGUCUAAAUUUCGUAUUUUGGCCGGACCUUCAACUAAAAAUAUUUUCAAAUCGAUGAGACACAACAAGUCGUAUAAAAAUUUUACGCAAAAUAAUCACCGAAGAUAGGGCUAUAGUAUGUAACAGAAAAAGUUUAGGGUUUAGCCGACGAAUACCCUAAUUCAUUCGUCGGCUAUAGUAUGUAAUAAAAAAAUAUAACAAUUAAUAAAGCCGACGAAAUAUUAGGGUAUUCGUCGGCUAAGAUGGUUUUAGCCGACGACUUCUAAUAUACUUCGUCGGCUAAGAUGGUUUUAGCCGACGACUUNNN